AAAAAAAGCAAAAAGGCAUCAAAGGACGGUACGGAGAGGAAAAGCCGGUUACUGAAGCGAAAAGAAAAAAAACUUCCAUCGAAACAGAGCCUUCACCAAGCCAGGAUACAGCAAAUCCUCCAACAGAGAAGAAAAAAAAGAAAAGCAAAUUGAAAUCAGCUGAAGUCCCAGAAACGCCUGAUGUUUUCUACAGAGACACAAAUCGUCCAAACGCCCUCAAGUGACGGCCACAAAAAGAAGAAGAAAUCAUCCAAGAGCCAUGAAGACGUUUGACGCUUCAUCCCUGCAAAGCCACAAAACGAAGGCAACACGUCAUUUCUGUCCUGUUUCUGAUCAUAUUCUGAUGGUUAGAAGGAUGAUUUAAAACUGUAAAGAGAACUAGUGUUUUUAUUUUGGUACCUUUUAAAAUCUUUUUCAUUGGUUUUUUGUUCUGUGUUUUGCGACUGUGUGUCUUUUCUACUUAAAUAUUUUUAUGAUAAUUGCUAUUUUCAUGGCAUGUAAAGGAAGUAAAGAAGCAGUUGUUUCAUGGAGUCUUGUGACAUUUGAAAUCUCACCGCUGACUGAAUGAAGAAACGUCUCUUUUAAGCACGUUUUCUUUCAGUCUCAGGGAUUUCUUGUACUGUAGUCUAAACAUGAGAGGCUCUCUGAAGCCAUUUUAUGAUGAUUUAAAUUUUAUAAUAAAUUCAAACAUAAGGAAUCUGAUUUUUUUAAAGUUUUUUUGUAAUCUCUGUUUGAUUUCAGUAUGUUUUCUACUGUUCCACUUCUCUUGUAUUUGGCACAAAAAAACAAUGUUGUGAAGAAAACACAGUACAAACAAAAUUUUAAUCAGCUGUUUAUUUAUUCAAAAUAUUGUGAAAAAAACAUGUAUUUGGUUUUGACAGAGAGAUCUCUAUGUUUGACGGAGCAUUCAUUUAUAAAGUGCACAACAGCAGUAAGUACGACCCUGUGCAGUAUUGUUUAAAUGUUAAAUUCUGCAAAAUUUUGUCACCUCUUGAAAACUGCAAUAACUGCAUUUGCUCUUGUGUACAUUUUCAAGCAAUUUUAUAUUUAAUAUAUUAAAAAUUCAAGCCCCAAAGUAGCACCUCAAUGUAAACAAAGUCAGUGCAUCUUGUAUUAUGGAGA